UCCCAUGUGGCCUAGUGGUUAGGAUUCCUGGUUUUCACCCAGGUGGCCGGGGUUCAAUUCCUGGUGUGGGAA